GGGUUCUUCCGUUGGUCAGGCUAACAAGUCUGUACUAGCGUGUAGAAUCUCUACCUUCUGGGGAACCAUCAUGUUAUUAAUUUAGCGUGGUGGGAAACCAGGACCUUUACCUUGAAAAAAUUAGAGUGUUCAAAGCAGGCUUACGUCUGAAUACAUUAGCAUGGAAUAAUAAAAUAGGACGGUGGUCCUGUUUUGUUGGUUUCUGAAUCACCGUA
rnacentral:ncRNA from 4 species